rnacentral:rRNA from 1 species
GCCAGACUCCUACGGGAGGCAGCAGUGGGGAAUAUUGCACAAUGGGGGAAACCCUGAUGCAGCGACGCCGCGUGAGUGAAGAAGUAUUUCGGUAUGUAAAGCUCUAUCAGCAGGGAAGAAAAUGACGGUACCUGACUAAGAAGCCCCGGCUAACUACGUGCCAGCAGCCGCGGUAAUACGUAGGGGGCAAGCGUUAUCCGGAUUUACUGGGUGUAAAGGGAGCGUAGGCGGCAGUGCAAGUCAGAAGUGAAAGCCCAAGGCUCAACCAUGGGACUGCUUUUGAAACUGUACAGCUAGAUUGCAGGAGAGGUAAGUGGAAUUCCUAGUGUAGCGGUGAAAUGCGUAGAUAUCGCGCAGAACCCCGAUUGCGAAGGCAGCGUACCGGCUCCACACUGACGCUGAGGCACGAAAGCGUGGGUAUCGAACAGGAUUAGAUACCCGGGUA